rnacentral:rRNA from 1 species
AUUGAACGCUAGCGGGAUGCUUUACACAUGCAAGUCGAACGGCAGCGCGGACUUCGGUCUGGCGGCCAGUGGCGAACGGGUGAGUAAUGUAUCGGAACGUGCCCAGUAGCGGGGGAUAACUACGCGAAAGCGUAGCUAAUACCGCAUACGCCCUACGGGGGAAAGGUGGGGAUCGCAAGACCUCUCACUAUUGGAGCGGCCGAUAUCGGAUUAGCUAGUUGGUGAGGUAAAGGCUCACCAAGGCGACGAUCCGUAGCGGGUUUGAGAGGACGACCAGCCACACUUGGACUGAGACACGGCCCAGACUCCUACGGGAGGCAGCAGUGGGGAAUUUUGGACAAUGGGGGCAACCCUGAUCCAGCCAUCCCGCGUGUGCGAUGAAGGCCUUCGGGUUGUAAAGCACUUUUGGCAGGGAAGAAAAGUUUCGGGCUAAUACCCUGGAGCGAUGACGGUACCUGCAGAAUAAGCACCGGCUAACUACGUGCCAGCCGCCGCGGUAA